GAGACUGGCACUCUCGGCUUUAUCGAACCCUAUAUCAUUGAAGACCGGAAACUGCCUAAGGUUGUACUGGA
rnacentral:tRNA from 1 species